rnacentral:rRNA from 1 species
AUUGAACGCUGGCGGCAGGCUUAACACAUGUAAGUCGAGCGGUAGCACAGGGGAGCUUGCUCCCUGGGUGACGAGCGGCGGACGGGUGAGUAAUGUCUGGGAAACUGCCUGAUGGAGGGGGAUAACUACUGGAAACGGUAGCUAAUACCGCAUAACGUCGCAAGACCAAAGAGGGGGACCUUCGGGCCUCUUGCCAUCAGAUGUGCCCAGAUGGGAUUAGCUAGUAGGUGGGGUAAUGGCUCACCUAGGCGACUAUCCCUAGCUGGUCUGAGAGGAUGAGCAGCCACACUGGAACUGAGCCACGGUCCAGACUCCUACGGGAGGCAGCAGUGUGGAAUAUUGCACAAUGGGCGCAAGCCUGAUGCAGCCAUGCCGCGUGUGUGAAGAAGGCCUUCGGGUUGUAAAGCACUUUCAGCGAGGAGGAAGGUGGUGAGCUUAAUACGUUCAUCAAUUGACGUUACUCGCAGAAGAAGCACCGGCUAACUCCGUG